GGCUGAAAUUCGCCUUCCAUGAAGCUGGAAUUGCUAGUAAUGGCAGGUCAGCAUACUGCCGUGAAUACGUUCCCGGGCCUUGUACACACCGCCCGUCACACCAUGAGAGUUGGAAAUACCCGAAGCCUGUGAGCUAACUUAAAGAGGCAGCAGUCGAAGGUAGAGCCAAUGAUUGGGGUGAAGUCGUAACAAGGUAUC
rnacentral:rRNA from 1 species